UACGAAGGGUGCUAGCGUUGUUCGGAAUCACUGGGCGUAAAGCGUGCGUAGGCGGCUUAACAAGUCAGAGGUGAAAUGCCAAGGCUUAACCUUGGAACUGCCUUUGAAACUGUUGAGCUGGAGUGUCGGAGGGGAUAGCGGAAUUUCUAAUGUAGCGGUGAAAUGCGUAGAUAUUAGAAGGAACACCGGUGGCGAAGGCGGCUAUCUGGACGACAACUGACGCUGAGGCACGAAAGCGUGGGGAUCAAACAGG
rnacentral:rRNA from 1 species